rnacentral:antisense_RNA from 1 species
AAUAGCUAAGAAUCUUCAAGGGGUUAAGCGUCGGAUUACUAAUUACUCGCACAUCUCCACCCGCUCCGAUAUGAGGAUCGAAUAUUCCACCCCACAACAUCGCUUUUGCAACUAACAACCAAGCACCUAUACCUAAAAGAACAAGGUGAAUCCCUAAAAUGGUAGUCAUCUUAUCCUUAUCCUUCCA